CCUACGGGCGGCAGCAGUGAGGAAUAUUGGUCAAUGGACGAGAGUCUGAACCAGCCAAGUAGCGUGAAGGAUGACUGCCCUAUGGGUUGUAAACUUCUUUUAUAUGGGAAUAAAAUGUUCCACGUGUGGGAUUUUGUAUGUACCCUAUGAAUAAGGAUCGGCUAACUCCGUGCCAGCAGCCGCGGUAAUACGGAGGAUCCGAGCGUUAUCCGGAUUUAUUGGGUUUAAAGGGAGCGUAGGUGGAUUGUUAAGUCAGUUGUGAAAGUUUGCGGCUCAACCGUAAAAUUGCAGUUGAAACUGGCAGUCUUGAGUACAGUAGAGGUGGGCGGAAUUCGUGGUGUAGCGGUGAAAUGCUUAGAUAUCACGAAGAACUCCGAUUGCGAAGGCAGUUCACUGGACUGCAACUGACACUGAGGCUCGAAAGUGUGGGUAUCAAACAGGAUUAGAUACCCGAGUAGUC
rnacentral:rRNA from 1 species